rnacentral:rRNA from 1 species
CGGGGUGCAGCAGGCGCGAAACCUUUGCAAUGCGCGAAAGCGUGACAAGGGGACCCUGAGUGCUUAUGUUUAACAUAGGCUUUUGCCAUGGGUAAAUACCAUGGCGAAUAAGUGGUGGGUAAGACCGGUGCCAGCAGCCGCGGUAGCCCCGGCGCCACAAGUGGGAAUCACAUUUAUUGGGUCUAAAGCGUUCGUAGCCGGUUUUGUAAGUCUUUUGUGAAAUUGUUAUCAUAAAAAUAACAACGUGCAAAAGAUACUGCAUUACUAGGGAUUGGGAAGGGUAAGGAGUACUCCAAGGGGAGCGGUAAAAUGUUAUAAUCCUUGGAAGACUACCUGUGGCGAAGGCGCCUUACUAGAACAACUCCGACGGUGAGGAACGAAAGCUAAGGGAGCAAACCGGAUUAGAUACCCGAGUAGUCUUAGCUGUAAACGCUGCGAGCAAGAUGUUGCAUAUUCUUAGUGAAUGUGCAGUGUCGAAGAGAAGUCAUUAAGCUCGCCACCUGGGAAGUAUGGUCGCAAGGCUGAAACUUAAAGGAAUUGGCGGGGGAGCAC